GUCUGUGCGAAGGUAUGUAGAGUCUGGCCUGCCCACUGACUUAAUAUUGUUUGAAGGGCCGCGGUAUUUUGACCGUGCGAAGGUAGCAUAAUCAUUAGUCUUUUAAUUGAAGGCUUGUAUGAAUGGUCGGACAAAAAGUAAGCUGUCUUCAACUAUAAGAAUUGAAUUUGACUUUUAAGUUAAAAGGCUUAAAUAAUACAAAGUGACGAUAAGACCCUAUAAAGCUUUAAAGUUUAUUUUUUUAUUAUAAAUUAUAAAAUUGUAUAACUUAAUUUAAGAUGAAACUUUUUCGUUGGGGCGACGGAAAUAUAAAUAAAUAACUGUUUUUAUUUGAAUAAUACAAAUAUAUUUGGUUUUAGGAAUGAUCCUUUAUUAAAGAUUAAAAGAUUAAGUUACUUUAGGGAUAACAGCGUAAUCUUCUUUGAGAGUCCAUAUCGACAAGAAGGGUUGCGACCUCGAUGUUGAAUUAAGGUUCCUUUAUGGUGUAGCAGUUAUAAUUGGAGGUCUGUUCGACCUUUAAAUCCUU
rnacentral:rRNA from 1 species